rnacentral:lncRNA from 1 species
AUAAUAUAUACUACCUAUGCUUAUAUGAUAUAUAAAAUACAUAUAUACAUAUUAUAUAUAUUUAAAGAUUAUCUGUGGAAGAAUAUGAAAAAAACUGAAAAUGAGGCUUGUCUCUGUGAUGGGGAAGGGGGUGGUUGGGAGCAGACAGAGUUGGAAAAGUUACUUUUCACUGUACAUCCUCUGUUACUUUUUGGAGCUUGUUUCAUGUGCAUGUAUCAUUUAUUUGAAAACAAAUAAUGGAAAAAUAUGAACAACUAAUUAAAAAUGUUAAAUAUUUGUGAGCAGGCCAGCAUUGGCUGGGCCACGAUUUUGCAACCUGUCCUUGGCCUGCAGGCCCCCAGCUUGCCUCCUCUGCUCUCGCCUGAACUCUUUGAGGCAUUUACCUCUUCCUCUCUGGGUCAAGAUUUAGUGCAUCGCCUUCCUCAAGGUCGUCGCUCAGGCAACAUUCUUAGGGUUCACAUCCCCCAUAAACGAAGUGUUUCCUUCCCUGCGUGUUGUGCUUACGUCAGCCGGGGACAAGCGUGUGAUGCUGCGUAUCGUCCUCCAUCCGCGCCGGCGUCGGCUGGUCAUCAAGGCUGCUGUUUCCUCCUCAUCCCAGCGGCAAGUCUCUCCAGGAAAUUGCACGGUGGCAUGGAGAGCGUGAUAUUUGUUGGAAGAGACCUGAACUAAAAGGCUCAUAAAUCUCUUAACAAGAACACUGGAAUUUGGAGUGAUAAUUUCCACUUAGCAAUUGGGUGUCGCAAAGAUGUUAAGUAUGACGUGUCAUCUAAUAAAAAAAUUUUAAAAGUUUUUCUACCCGAUGAA